GUUAUGAUGCAGUGCAGACAGUGACACACGCAGGCAAGUCACAUCAAAAGUCAGGGCAUCAAAUACGGAAAGAAAAGAAGUCAAGAGAAGACAGAGAACGCCAAAGUCGACAGUAUGUCACACAGUUUUUCAAAAAGAAAGAAUCAGCGGCUGCUGCACACCCACGUCCUCCUUCCCCCACGUCCCCGUCUUAAUCAGCCGAACAAGUUGAGACUCACAUUGUAGGAACUGCUCCUUGAUCUUGGGUUCAGGAUUGGGAAUGAUCCCAAUACACAUGACUAUGAACACCAACAUACAAUAAGCAGAUAUCUUUUCGAUCUCUUCUCUGCAGAAAUUCAUCAGUUUCUCUUUCAGAUGAGACACAGAUUUUCCUACCUCAUCAAAAGAGAG